UGGGGAAUAUUGCACAAUGGGGGAAACCCUGAUGCAGCGACGCCGCGUGAACGAAGAAGGUAUUCGUAUCGUAAAGUUCUGUCCUAUGGGAAGAUAAUGACAGUACCAUAGAAGAAAGCUCCGGCUAAAUACGUGCCAGCAGCCGCGGUAAUACGUAUGGAGCGAGCGUUGUCCGGAAUUAUUGGGCGUAAAGGGUACGCAGGCGGUUUAAUAAGUCGAAUGUUAAAGAUCGGGGCUCAACCCCGCAAAGCAUUGGAAACUGAUAAACUUGAGUAGUGGAGAGGAAAGUGGAAUUCCUAGUGUAGUGGUGAAAGACGUUGAUAUUAGGAGGAAUACCAGUAGCGAAGGCGACUUUCUGGACACAAACUGUCACUGAGGUACGAAAGCGUGGGGAGCAAACAGG
rnacentral:rRNA from 1 species